rnacentral:rRNA from 1 species
AUGGGGAACACCGGCAAGGCCGUGGUAGUUCUCAGUAUUCUUGUUUUCCUGCAGAUCUGGUGCGGCGCCGGGCAAGUCCAUGACGUCCGAGCGGUGAUGUCGGUGAACGGAUUCCAGCAAGGAGAGGAGGGCGGGCCGGCAACGUGCGACGGCCAGUACCACAGCGACGACCUUUUCCUGGUGUCAAUGGCUUCGAAGUGGUUCGGACCUGGCGUCCGGUGUGCCAAGAUGAUCCGCAUCGUGAGCUUGCCCGGGAUCGUGCAGGCCAUUGUGGUGGACGAAUGCGCGGACGGUUGCGGCGACAACGAGAUCAGCACAUCGACCGCCAUGUGGAAGGCCAUGGGGUUCGACCCCAGUAUGGGCGAGGUGCCCGUCCUCUGGUCGGAU